rnacentral:rRNA from 1 species
CCUACGGGAGGCAGCAGUGGGGAAUAUUGCACAAUGGGGGAAACCCUGAUGCAGCGACGCCGCGUGAGUGAAGCAGUAUUUCGGUACGUAAAGCUCUAUCAGCAGGGAAGAAAAUGACGGUACCUGACUAAGAAGCCCCGGCUAACUACGUGCCAGCAGCCGCGGUAAUACGUAGGGGGCAAGCGUUAUCCGGAUUUACUGGGUGUAAAGGGAGCGUAGACGGCAGCGCAAGUCUGGAGUGAAAUCCCAUGGCUUAACCAUGGAACUGCUGUGGAAACUGUGCAGCUAGAGUGCAGGAGAGGUAAGCGGAAUGCCUAGUGUAGCGGUGAAAUGCGUAGAUAUUAGGAGGAACACCAGUGGCGAAGGCGGCUUACUGGACUGUAACUGACGUUGAGGCUCGAAAGCGUGGGGAGCAAACAGGAUUAGAUACCCUAGUAGUC